rnacentral:rRNA from 1 species
AACGAACGCUGGCGGCAGGCUUAACACACGCAAGUCGAACGCAUCCUUCGGGGUGAGUGGCAGACGGGUGAGUAACGCGUGGGAACGUGCCCUUCAGUUCGGGAUAACCCAGGGAAACUUGGGCUAAUACCGGAUACGUGCGAGAGCAGAAAGAUUUAUCGCUGAAGGAUCGGCCCGCGUCUGAUUAGCUAGUUGGUGGGGUAAUGGCCACCAAGGCGACGAUCAGUAGCUGGUCUGAGAGGAUGAUCAGCCACAUUGGGACUGAGACACGGCCCAAACUCCUACGGGAGGCAGCAGUGGGGAAUAUUGGACAAUGGGCGCAAGCCUGAUCCAGCCAUGCCGCGUGAGUGAUGAAGGCCUUAGGGUUGUAAAGCUCUUUCGUCCGGGACGAUAAUGACGGUACCGGAAGAAGAAGCCCCGGCUAACUUCGUGCCAGCAGCCGCGGUAA